ACGCGAGGAACCUUACCAGGUCUUGACAUCCCAUUGACCGCUAUGGAGACAUAGCUUUCCUUUCGGGGACAGUGGUGACAGGUGGUGCAUGGUUGUCGUCAGCUCGUGUCGUGAGAUGUUGGGUCAAGUCCCGCAACGAGCGCAACCCUUGUUCUUAGUUGCCAUCAUUUAGUUGGGCACUCUAAGGAGACUGCCGGUGACAAACCGGAGGAAGGUGGGGAUGACGUCAAAUCAUCAUGCCCCUUAUGACCUGGGCUACACACGUGCUACAAUGGACGGUACAAACGGUUGCCAACCCGCGAGGGGGAGCUAAUCCGAUAAAACCGUUCUCAGUUCGGAUUGUAGGCUGCAACUCGCCUACAUGAAGCUGGAAUCGCUAGUAAUCGCGGAUCAGCAUGCCGCGGUGAAUACGUUCCCGGGCCUUGCACUCACCGCCCGU
rnacentral:rRNA from 1 species